CAGCCGCCACGGUAAUACGAAGGGGGCUAGCGUUGCUCGGAAUGACUGGGUGUAAAGGGCGCGUAGGCGGCGGCCAAAGUCAGGCGUGAAAUUCCCGGGCUCAACCUGGGGGCUGCGUUUGAUACUUGGUUGCUUGAGUGGGGAAGAGGGUCGUGGAAUUCCCAGUGUAGAGGUGAAAUUCGUAGAUAUUGGGAAGAACACCGGUGGCGAAGGCGGCGACCUGGUCCUUUACUGACGCUGAGGCGCGAAAGCGUGGGGAGCAAGCAGGAUUAGAUACCCCUGUAGUCCCUGUCUCUUAUAC
rnacentral:rRNA from 1 species